rnacentral:misc_RNA from 1 species
GAUGAAGAACGCAGCGAAAUGCGAUACGUAAUGUGAAUUGCAGAAUUCAGUGAAUCAUCGAAUCUUUGAACGCACAUUGCGCCCCUUGGUAUUCCGAGGGGCAUGCCUGUUCGAGCGUCAUUUCAACCCCUCAAGCUUCGGCUUGGUGUUGGGCCGCGCCGCUGCACCAGCAGCUGGCGGGCCUCAAAAUCAGUGGCGGUGCCGUCUCGGCUCUAAGCGUAGUAACAUCUCUCGCUCUGGAGACCUGGCGGUGGCUUGCCAGACAACCCCCAACUUUCUUUAAGGUUUGACCUCGGAUCAGGUAGGGAUACCCGCUGAACUUAAGCAUAUCAAUAAGCGGAGGA